AACAGCAAACAUACCUGAAAAUGCAUAUUCUGAUAAUGAUUGUUGGGAAAUUGCUAUAUGCGUUGUUUUCAGUCGCAGAUCAGAUGACGAAGCAUGGAGUGGUUUCUCCAUAAAUUGGAAAUUCCAAGAUUAUUGCGAUGCCAAUCCCCAUAAUAACGGAAUGGAUGAAGAAACUAUGGAAAUUUCCAAUUUGGUCGGCUCCGAUAUCGAGUUUACGUAGGAGCUUAUCCCAUUGAUAAGGAACAUUGUCGACCACAUCCCACAGGUGUAGGCAGUCAAGUUGAUUUAACGCUUUGCUUCCCAACACCCAGCAUUGCUGGUUGGAAUCAAACACGUUAUCAAUACUUUGAAGUACUGGAAUGUUGGUGGAGUGUGCAAUGCAAGACUGAAUUUGGAGCAAGGUAGAACUCAGCAUGCAUUCUUUCUUACAAAUCUAGUUUCGCACGAUUAUGCUAAGAGCUUGAAGUUGGACGGAGCUGCAAAUUAAUGUCAGCCCAUGGUUGAGGAUCUUUUCUUGGUGGUUUGUCUGUUUACCAAGUAAAAGAAAUUAUAUUUUCCUUUGGCUUAUGCGGUCAAGAUAUGAAAGACAUUGACGAAAGCUGUAUGGAUUGAAUGCUUGUUAAAUUGCCAUCUCAUUUUGGCCAUUUGCUUGGAACUCAGUUACGUGGCAACAAGACAUAGUCAUUGAGGGUUUUUUUUU